GAUGAAGAACGCAGCGAAAUGCGAUAAGUAAUGUGAAUUGCAGAGUUCAGUGAAUCAUCGAAUCUUUGAACGCACAUUGCGCCCGCCAGCAUUCUGGCGGGCAUGCCUGUUCGAGCGUCAUUACAACCCUCAGGCCCCCGGGCCUGGCGUUGGGGAUCGGCGGAGCCCCCCGUGGGCACACGCCGUCCCCCAAAUGCAGUGGCGGUCCCGCCGCAGCUUCCAUCGCGUAGUAGCUAACACCUCGCGACUGGAGAGCGGCGCGGCCACGCCGUAAAACACCCAACUCUUCUGAAGUUGACCUCGAAUCAGGUAGGAAUACCCGCUGAACUUAAGCAUAUCAAUAAGCGGAGGA
rnacentral:misc_RNA from 1 species